AUUGAGGUGAGAAAGUUUAAGAAAUUUUCUGAGUGUGUUGGAAUAUGCCUAUAACAGUACUUCAGGAGGCAGAGACAGGACGAUAAUAAGUUGGAGCCCAGCUCAACUUGAGCAGAGCCCUGUUUCAAAAUAAACAAUAAAAGUUUUGGGGAUAUAGCUCAGUCCAAAGGCCCUAGGUUCAAUCCUCAGUGGAAAAUAGUAAAUGAAUAAAAUGUCCAAAAUAGGAAAGGGAAAAACAAACCAAAAAUUCAGGUAGAAAAUAUGGUCCAAAAUAUUUCUCCUGAUUUUUGUGUGUUUGUUUGUUUGUUUGUUUCAAGAUAGGGUCUUGCUAUGCAUUCUAGGCCAGACUUGAACUUGCUAUGUAGCCCAGCCCAGCCUAAAACUCAUGGAGAUCCUCCUACCUCAGCCCCCUGAGAACUGGCUUUACAGGACCUUGCGCUUGCCCGGCAGGUGGCGGCACCACUGAGCUACAUCCCCACCCCAGGAUAUAUGAUCUUUAUG
rnacentral:lncRNA from 1 species